AUGAAAUUUAUUCAAAGUUAUAAAGAACAGUGGUGCUUCACUAAUAUUUUAAAGACCUAGUAACUUAUUUUGAAGUAAAUUUGCAGCAGUUUGUUCUUUGUUCUUUUUGCAAAAUACAUUUGAGCAUUCAAGGUUUUUGGGCUAACAUGUUUCCAUAUGUGAUCCAUAUGUGAAAUCAGACAUUUCUCAGAGAGCCAGGACAAUGUGAACCAGAGGGAGAGUUGGGGAGAAUAUGAACAGGUAGUAGGUUUAUGUGGGUAAAAUUCAUAUUAGCCUAUUUAUAGGCAGGGAAGUAAAAAAUAUUUCUUUUUACUUAAGAAAUACUAAGUAAUUUAAUAUUGCGUAAGUCUUUUUUUCUG
rnacentral:lncRNA from 1 species